rnacentral:rRNA from 1 species
UACGAAGGGGGCUAGCGUUGUUCGGAUUUACUGGGCGUAAAGCGCGUGUAGGCGGGUCGGUAAGUUGGGGGUGAAAUCCCGAGGCUCAACCUCGGAACUGCCUUCAAAACUGGCGGGCUGGAGCAAGAUAGAGGCGGGCGGAAUUGCGGGUGUAGGGGUGAAAUUCGUAGAUAUUCGGAGGAACACCAGUGGCGAAGGCGGCCCGCUGGACGGUUACUGACGCUGAGACGCGAAAGCGUGGGGAGCAAACAGG